rnacentral:rRNA from 1 species
AGUACGACCGCAAGGUUAAAACUCAAAUGAAUUGACGGGGACCCGCACAAGUAGUGGAGCAUGUGGUUUAAUUCGAAGAUACGCGCAGAACCUUACCAACACUUGACAUGUUCGUCGCGACUCUAAGAGAUUAGAGUUUUCGGUUCGGCCGGACGAAACACAGGUGCUGCAUGGCUGUCGUCAGCUCGUGUCGUGAGAUGUUGGGUUAAGUCCCGCAACGAGCGCAACCCUCACUUUUAGUUGCCAUCAUUAAGUUGGGCACUCUGAAAGAACUGCCAGUGAUAAGCUGGAGGAAGGUGGGGAUGACGUCAAGUCCUCAUGGCCCUUACGUGUUGGGCUACACACGUGCUACAAUGGUAUCUACAACAGGAAGCAAGACUGCGAAGUUAAGCAAAUCCCUAAAAGAUACCUCAGUUCGGAUUGCACUCUGCAACUCGAGUGCAUGAAGCUGGAAUUACUAGUAAUCGUGGAUCAGCGUGCCACGGUGAAUGCGUUCCCGGGUCUUGUACACACCGCCCGUCACACCAUGGGAGUUGGUUCUACCUUAAGGCAAGGUUUCAAACCCUUGACCACGGUAUAGUCAGCGACUGGGGUGAAGUCGUAACAAGGUAACC